UUUUUUUUUUUUUCUUUUCCUUUCUUUCUCCCUUAAUUCUACGGUCUUCAAAAGUUUGUUGAUGACUAAUUUAGGUAAGCUUUGUAUAACUACCUUUUGGUUAAUCUGUAUCACAUUAGAAAAGUAAGUUUCAUUUUAAUAAAAAUAAUCUCUUUUUCUAAGAUAAAUUCAUAACAAAUGGAAAAGUAAAGUUAUUAGCCAAGAAUAUUACUUAUGAAACCAUUUUAUUUAAACAUUAAUUAAUUUUUUAAGAUGCUAUUUAUUUAUUCCUGAGAGACAGAGAGAGAGAGAGAGACAGAGACACAGGCAGAGGGAGAAGCAGGCUCCAUGCAGGGAGCCCGACGUGGGACUCGAUCCCAGGACUCCAGGAUCACGCCCUGGGCCAAAGGCAGGUGCUAAACCCCUGAGCCACCCAGGUGCCCCUUAAACAUUAAUUUAUACACAUUUGGUAUGCUUAAAAAAACAGCUUUUUUCUAGAACUUUUUAUCUUCUCAAUUUUCUAUGUAGAAACAAUGCACACAUGCAAUCUGGCGAGGACACGUAUGCACACCUACCUACAUACAUACACAAACAUACAUUUUUCAAACAAAAAUAUUACCACAGAUGUAUUACUUUUUAUCAGAGCAAUCUUUUUUUUUUUUUCUCUCUCUCUCUAAUUAAGAGUUUGUUUUGGUGCAGAGUGAGUAACAGAGGAGGUGUCCAAAGAGAAGAGUGGUUAAGCAAGGUGACGUUGAUUUUUGUUGUCUUGCCAUCUGGGAGUGGUGUGCUGGCCUGCAGCGAAGGAGCUAGCCCUCGCUCUUCUUUCCGCCACCUGAUCUCCUGGAGGAGCUCCUCAUCGACCCAACACAAGCCACGGGGCACAGGCAUGCACGUCGGCUUCCCAGCACAGAGCACAGUGAAGAACAGGGGCUAGAUCUGCACAAUCAAAUAGAGGUUAUUUGGCACAGGUGGCUCCUUCAGAUCAUCAGUUAGGAUGUCCGAGGAUGCAGGGCCAGGAAUGACAUUCUUUGGCACAACCACCAAAACCCAUUCCAACCACAGGUCGAUCUAUUAAACAGAAAGAGGCCAUCAAUAUAGGACGUGUUAACCAGGGAAAUGUCUCUAUGUACAGUCUUAACACAUCCAUGCCUCCUUCUGGUACUAUUUUCAAAGAUGUUUUUACUUGAUUUCCUGUACAGUGCACUGAGUAAAAAAAAUGUAGUCCUGAUUUCUCUUUCCCGAACCAAAUUCUGUGGGGUAAUAGCAGCUAUUAUUAACGGAGCUUAGAUAAUUUAAACAUCUCAGGGCUAGGAAGGAGCUGUCCCAGUUUGUCUGUUUGCAGAGCCCAUAAUCUUAAUGACCACCCUCACUACUAGAAAAUAUAACUAGGUCUGAUAUAUAGAUUCAUAGAGCAUAUAUGCUGUCUGUCUACCAUCUAAAUACAUGUGGCAUGUGUGAUAUUUGUUGUAUAGAACACACAUGCUGAAUAUGUUCUCUUCAGCUUGGUGUUUGUUCCAUUUUUGCUGGAGAAAAAUGAGACCUUGACUUCAUUUUCCCGGAGUGAAAGCCCCUGCCCCACCUUUUCUACAACUAUGAGAUGCUACAACCUCUUCAAAAUGCACAAGAUGCAGUCAUCCAAAAUGUAAAACAACGAUGUCAUUUGCGAAUGAAUAUUUGCAAACCCGAUGUCACAACUAAAGCCUGUCUCUAAGCAAGCCGCCGCUCUAUGUUAGCUAUGAUAGUCGUCCACAAUUUGACAUCCGUGAGCAGCCUGCAGUCCUCUGGAAGUAAGGCCCCCUGGAUAGUUUGCCUUCAAAUCAAGUGAACGGUCCUCAGGGUUAAAAUGACCCAACAGUCAUGUCAGCCAAGCAUAAUAAGGUGGAGGAGAAUACAGUCCAAGACAAGCUCCGAACAGCUUCUUGGUGUUUCUGUUCAGUUUGACACAGUUGAUGGUUAGAUUUUAAUUAUAUUUUAUCGUCCUGUAGUUGAUGGGACUUAGUCAUUUCAGGCGAAGCCAGAGAGAGUCUAACAUCAUUCUAACCUUACAGUUCCCAGGUACAGCUGUGUGUGCAUGGGUGUGCGUUAGCCCCUGGUGCAUGGCCUCUGAGUGCAGGGUGAGCACAGACAAAGGUCAUCAAGAGACCUACGUCUUCAUAUGCUGAAAAAAAAGGAAUCUCUGAAUUUUGUAGCAUAUUGUAGAUUCAUUCACACAGUUUUAGAAAUGAUGGACAACAUCCUCAACACACCACACACGCACACACACACACACACACACACACACACAGAUUUGCUGUGUGAAUUUAAGCAUAUCCUCUCAUAUUGAAACACACUAGAUAGAUAAUUGAAGUCACCAAAUAAAAAUGUCAAUGAAUUGAUACACAACAUCUUACCAACUAUCCACCAGGCUUUUAUUAGAGUUUUGGACACAUAUAUUCAGGGCAUAAAUGCCAUAGAGCGAACUCAGUGGUUUAGAAGAUUCAUCAAAAUAAAGGUAACAGAAAUUAUUUCUUUUAGCCUUAAGAAUAUAGAGCUAUGAAGUUUAAUAAUGAUUUUAUAGUGUUAAAAAAAACUCACAUCUGUUUUGAAACAUGACAGCCGUAGAUAUUAAUUGCCUUAGGCACUUCAAAAAACAUCUUUUCCCACGUGCUUAUUAUUAUGUUUUUAUCCUCCCAUAUAUAGUUCAGCUUAUUAAGUAACACUUUUUAAAUUAUACAGAAUCAAAAUCCCUUCGAUUCAGACAGCUCUCAUCAUAAAAACCUGACUGUAGCACUCCAAGUGGGUUAGCCUCUGACCGCAAGGAAUGCCCUACUUAUAGCUAAACUUAAUGAACUGUCUCCUUCCCUAGGUAACCAAUCCAAAGACGUGAUAUGCUGUAGCAGUAAUCAGGAUCUUCUAUUCCCCUGGGAAAUAGAUUUUGCCCUUGUGAUGGUCGAUUUUCUUUUUUUUUUUUUUUUUUUUAUUUGGUCAAACAGCAGUCCAGAUAUUGUUGUGAAGGUGUUUUUUAGAUGUGAUUUACUAUUUGCAUCAGUAGACGUUGGGUAAAGCAGAUUACCUUCCAAAAUGUG
rnacentral:lncRNA from 1 species